GUUUUCAAUAGUACGAGUCUCGACAGCAAUCACACCAGUAGGAAUUCCGCCCAUUCUAGCACGACCAACAACAACAGUCUUGGCCCAGCCAUUCAAAGUUUCCUGGAAAGAUCCUUUGUCAAAUAAACCAUACAAGAAAGAAUCUUCAUCUUCCUUUCCGGCAAUUAACCAACGAGGAUCGUAACCAUUUUGAGAAGGAUAGAACUCCACAUCACGAUCCCAUGUAUCUGAUGAUGGUGA